AGAAGUAAAAAAAUCCAUGUAUAGAAGGUGACAAUAAGUUUUUACGGUGUGAUCGACUACGUUCGAUCAUUUACAAACAAUAAUCGGGCAUAAACAGUGCCGCGUGAUAUUUUUUCUCGUGGAAUUGUGAGCAAAAACAUAUCGAAUGUCAGAACAAGAACAGAAAGACGAACCUAACCUCAGUGAGGAGCGUGGCACUCCACCGCGGAGGAUUCGUCACCGAUUCGAGCUACUAUGCAAUAUACAAUACAUGUGUAUUCUGUACCGUGCACCGGAUCGGCCAGAAUUCAGGAUUAAACUUUGAAAAAAUCAUAACUCUUGAUUGAGUAAACGGAUUUCAAAUCAUUAAAACGAGAAUCUACGUGUUUAUAGAUCUCAUGGAACUCUAGAAGCACACACAGAAAGUUUUUUUCUAUCGUAAACACCCAAUUUUUUACAAAUGAGAGAAUGAUUUUAUUAAGAAUUCACAAGGGGCCUCGUUAAUUUUAGUCCAAAUCAAAAAUUGUCUAUAAAAUUUUUUUUUCACUUGCCCGCUCAAAAUGAAGCACAUUUUGUUAAAUAACAUACAGCUGUAAUUUAUAUUAUAUAUGAAAAAAGAAUUUCUAAAGAAAAGAAGAAGUAUGGUUUGGAAAAAAGAGAUUCUCGAAAAAUAUUAAUUUCUCAAAAAAUAUGUUUGAUAACAAUUUGAUGUCCUAUCGAGAUGUACAACUUUUAUAUUAAAAAUUUUGUAAUAUCUUUUAUAGUUUCAGAGAUGUUAGCGGAAAGCAUAAAUAUCUAGAAUUAUUUCAAAGGGGUGUCCAUUCUUAAAUUUUAUAACCAAAAUAGAAAAGACCACUGUGAUUAGAUUUCCAUAAAAUUGUUUUUGCAAGAAUUCAACUUUUUCAAAGUGUAUCAAUUAAUAUUGUAGAGAAAUUGUAUAUCAUUCGAUUACAUCAAACAAACACUGUAAGAAUUGAUUUAAUUGUUUAUAACAUUUAUUAUGACACUGUUUAUAAAAUAACGUUGGAAAUACUUUUUAAGGAAAAUGCAUUGUCAAUGAAAAACCAUUAAUGAAUUGCAAUGUUAACAAAGGAAAUGAAACUAUGUUUAGCGAUAAUAUUGCAACGUAUAAUAUCAGUGCUUUUUCCUUUAACGAUGUAUAUUUAUUCUAAUUAAUUAUAAAGUGUUUUUACACUUGAAGAGAAGCAUGGCAGAAAAAUUCGAGGUCUUAUCUGGGGAUACCAAAAAAAAAGAAUAAAUGUUGUAUAAUUAAAAAAUUGCUUGAGAAUAAUAUAAAGUCGAAAGAAAUGAAAAGAAUAGAAAGCUCAGAAUCAUCAAUUUACAAGCACAGUUCAGAAUGAAUCGUAAUUUUAAUUUCUUAUAACUAAUAUGUAUUAAUAUCAGCAAAAAUAUAAUCGAUCAGAAAAACAACUUUGUUUUGUUCGUUUUGCCUUGUGGUUACGUCAUAUAUUAAAUUAUCUGUAAGAACAAUUUCCUUUGAUCUUCAGAGCAAUACAAUAUGUGAUAUAACGAUAUUACAUACUAGUACGUACAAAAUUGUAAAACUAUUUCUCGCUUUAUCCAUAAAAAUAUGUUAUUUAUGUUCUU